GCAGCGACGCCGCGUGAGGGAUGACGGCCUACGGGUUGUAAACCUCUUUCAGCAGGGAAGAAGCCACAAGUGACGGUACCUGCAGAAGAAGCGCCGGCUAACUACGUGCCAGCAGCCGCGGUAAUACGUAGGGCGCAAGCGUUGUCCGGAAUUAUUGGGCGUAAAGAGCUCGUAGGCGGUUUGUCGCGUCUGCUGUGAAAGCCCGGGGCUCAACCCCGGGUCUGCAGUGGGUACGGGCAGACUAGAGUGCAGUAGGGGAGACUGGAAUUCCUGGUGUAGCGGUGAAAUGCGCAGAUAUCAGGAGGAACACCGAUGGCGAAGGCAGGUCUCUGGGCUGUUACUGACGCUGAGGAGCGAAAGCUUGGGGAGCGAACAGGAUUAGAUACCCUGGUAGUCCAUGCCGUAAACGUUGG
rnacentral:rRNA from 1 species